rnacentral:rRNA from 1 species
GAAUUAGAAGCUUGCUUUUAUUGAGUCGAGUGGCAAACGGGUGAGUAACGCGUAGACAACCUGCCGCAAAGAUGGGGACAACAGUCCGAAAGGACUGCUAAUACCGAAUGUUGUAUCUCCUCCGCAUGGAAGAGAUAUUAAAGAUGGCCUCUACUUGUAAGCUAUCGCUUUGCGAUGGGUCUGCGUCUGAUUAGCUAGUUGGUGGGGCAACGGCCUACCAAGGCGACGAUCAGUAGCCGGUCUGAGAGGAUGAACGGCCACAUUGGAACUGAGACACGGUCCAGACUCCUACGGGAGGCAGCAGUGGGGAAUCUUCCGCAAUGGGCGAAAGCCUGACGGAGCAACGCCGCGUGAGUGAAGAAGGUCUUCGGAUCGUAAAGCUCUGUUGUCGGGGACGAAUGUUGAGGCCUAGAACAUAGGUUUCAAAUGACGGUACCUGACGAGGAAGCCACGGCUAACUACGUG